AGCGUGUGCUGUUGGCUUGUCACACACCCGGACGCUCUCUACCGGUGACACCAGUCUGCAUCGACACGUGCCUGUGCUUUGUCAGACGGAUGCUCUCUGAGCCCUGGAAGGUACGGUCGGUGGGUGUCUGCAUCAUUUCCUUCUCUGGGCAAAACAGAACACCAACACGAAGAAAACUCCAGAACAGGAUGUGGCCUUAAAGGGCACCCACCGAGAGCUGUUUCCCCAGUUACUUAGCCUUGAAGCCUGCCCGCUCGGGAGGAGGAUUGAAGUGGUCAGUCCAUCCCAGCUCUGCUAUUCGUUGGCGGGGUCACGUUGGGCCAGUUACUUACCUCCUCUGGGCCUCGGCUUUGUCAGCUGCCAGACUGAGGUGAUGACGACACCCACACAGAGGCCGUGUGCGGCACUCUCUCUGACGGUUCUCGAACGCGGAUCGCGGCGUCUGGGUUUGUCUGGCAGUGACCCUGGCUUUUCCUCCGUUCACCCCAGCGUUCAAUCCGGGCGCAAAAGACCUCUCCGGGACACUGUCCUUGAGAGGUUGGGGUCAGGCCUCCAAACCCACAUCUUUCCGUGAGAGAGGUCUCGUUCACCCCUGCCCCUAACCGCCUCGGACCUUAUUUGCUUUUUCAAGCCGGACGGCAUGAACAUGAGAUUAGAUGGCAACCGGCCAAGCAGCGCGCCGUCUGAGGCACACCCACGGCCCGGGAGCAUCGAGAACACGCAAAGCCCAAGGACUCUCGGCAGAUAUUUAUUAAAUGCAUCACGCUGAUGGCACAGGGCUUGACUGCAGCUCUCUCUAGAAAAAUCGUUAUUAUUUCCCCAGCCGCCUCUCGUCGCCUUCAAGCACGAUGGAGUUGGAUAGACGGCACGCCUGCUCAGCUUCUAGAAAGGAAGACGGGAAUUAGGUUAGCGGAACAGCAACGUUUAAGAGAAGGCCAGCGAGGACUAAGGGCGCGGUGCCCUUCAAACAUUCGCGUUGGCUGCUUGCGGGAAAGCCAAAGUCAUUCAAGGAAAAGCCAUUCGCUCAUCAUGGAGAAGUGUCCACGGCCAUGAUCUCGCCAGAAUUAGGAUGCCUGCCUCCUCGGGGCCAGGCCAGCUCAAAUUCUCUCGGUGGGAAGGAGACAGAGCCACAGACACCCCGGGGUACAGCCCACAGCUCCUGUCCCUCGAUGUCCCGUGAGCACACUGCCGAGCAAAGUCCAGCUCUGUGCUCUAGCGAGCAUUCUGGGAUGCAGUCGGAUGAGACAGCCACAGAAGCCUUAACACGAUCCACACUUUAAGAUGAAUUCCUCUGCAGCCUUUGGUGACAGCGCUCUGUCCGUGUGAAUGUAGCACCGGACAGGGGGGAGCGGUGUCCAGCCAGAAGCUUCAGGAACUCCCGCUCGGGCUAGGAGUUCACGUCAAGUAUGUUGGGUGUAUCCCCCCAGAUGUCGUACUCCAGUUACCUCCUAGAAGAGAAAAAAUAUUGGGCGAAUCAAAGUACCUGACUUGGAAACCUGAUUGUUUUCCCUCCUUUUAUCUGUUUCUUGGGGGAAAUCUUAAGCAGGUCCCACACUCAGCUCAGAGCCCAACACAGGGCUCAAUCUCAGGAACCGUGAGAUCAUGACCUGAGCCUAAAUCAAGAGUCAGAUGUUUAACCAACGGACCCAUCCAGGAGCUCCAGGAGAAAGAAUUCUUUAAAAAAAAAAAAAAAAUCCAUGACUAACCCCCAAGCAGCUA